UACGGAGGGUGCAAGCGUUGUUCGGAAUCACUGGGCGUAAAGAGCGUGUAGGCGGCUGAUUAAGUCUGGUGUGAAAGCCCGGGGCUCACCCCCGGAAGUGCGCUGGAAACUGGUCAGCUAGAGUAUGGGAGAGGGAAGUGGAAUUCCUGGUGUAGCGGUGAAAUGCGUAGAUAUCAGGAGGAACACCGGCGGCGAAGGCGGCUUCCUGGACCAAUACUGACGCUGAGACGCGAAAGCGUGGGGAGCAAACAGGAUUAGAUACCCCUGUA
rnacentral:rRNA from 1 species